rfam:Triticum aestivum genome assembly, contig: Triticum_aestivum_CS42_TGACv1_scaffold_622830_7DS
UACGUAUCCCUCCGUUCGGAAUUACUUGUCUCGAAAAUGGAUAUAUCUAGAACUAAAAUACAUCUAGAUAUAUUCAUUUCUGCGACAAGUAAUUCCGAACGGCGGAAGUAGAUG